UUUAAAGAGAGUUUGAUCCUGGCUCAGGACGAACGCUGGCGGCGUGCCUAAUACAUGCAAGUCGAACGAACGGAGGAAGAGCUUGCUCUUCCAAAGUUAGUGGCGGACGGGUGAGUAACACGUGGGCAACCUGCCUGUAAGUU
rnacentral:rRNA from 1 species